GCCCCGAUGGUGAGUCUGGCAAUACCUAGAAAUACAAGGCUGGUGAAUAAGGAGUUGAGGGGCGGGGGAAGAGGGAGCGAGGAGGGAGGCAGUCUCCACCUCAAAUCCACGCCGGACCAGGAUCCUCCAGCCCACAACGUGAUCGCUGCCCUCCCCAAAGUGGACCGCUAUAUACAGCCUCUUCCCAGAUCCCCCGCCCAGAACCCAAUACGAAGUGUUCCUUCCACCAAUCCGAGGGCCACAGGGGGCUGAUGGACGCAAGGGUGUGGCCAAUGAGGAGGAGAAGAUGCUGCCCCGAGCCAGAGGGGAAGGAGUGGGCGGGCCAACGCCCUCCCCUCCUGCCCGCGGCCGGGUCCUCCCUCCCGCCGGCUUCGGUACUACACUUUUUUUUAGCAGGACACACAGCCAACCAGAAUAAAGACAACAUUGCCAGCUUCCCUUAUAGCCUGUGUUGCCAUGUUCCAGGCAAUGGGUUAAAAACAGAAUUGAUACAUACAUCCAUAAAGGGCAAGGUAUGCCCCAUCCUCUUUCCUGCCAUCUGAAAUGAAGACAUAAUGGCUGGAGCUUUAGCAGUCAUCUGAGACCAUGAGCUGACCUUGAGUAGGGAAACCACACACUGUGGAGCAACAAGACAGAAGGCAUCUGCUAUACAAGCACUGGCCCUAAAGCAUCCAUCUGCAAGUAUCUUCUUGAACCUCAAUAAAUCUU